AAAUGUUUGGAUCAUGGGGACAGAUCCCUCGUAAAUGGCAUAGCACCAUCCUCUUGGUGCUGUCCUUGCACCAAAAGUGUGAGCUGUUGCAAGAUCUGGUUGUUUAAAAUUGUGUGGUACCAAGCUAAAGAAGUCACUUUCAAGAGAUCUGGAGAAGUAAGAUGGCCAAAUAAAAGCCUCUACCAAUCAUCCUCCCCACAGGAACACCAAAUUUAAGAACUAUCUACAC
rnacentral:lncRNA from 1 species